AUUGAACGCUGGCGGCAGGCCUAACACAUGCAAGUCGAGCGGAAACGAGUUAUCUGAACCUUCGGGGAACGAUAACGGCGUCGAGCGGCGGACGGGUGAGUAAUGCCUAGGAAAUUGCCCUGAUGUGGGGGAUAACCAUUGGAAACGAUGGCUAAUACCGCAUGAUGCCUACGGGCCAAAGAGGGGGACCUUCGGGCCUCUCGCGUCAGGAUAUGCCUAGGUGGGAUUAGCUAGUUGGUGAGGUAAGGGCUCACCAAGGCGACGAUCCCUAGCUGGUCUGAGAGGAUGAUCAGCCACACUGGAACUGAGACACGGUCCAGACUCCUACGGGAGGCAGCAGUGGGGAAUAUUGCACAAUGGGCGCAAGCCUGAUGCAGCCAUGCCGCGUGUAUGAAGAAGGCCUUCGGGUUGUAAAGUACUUUCAGUCGUGAGGAAGGUAGUGUAGUUAAUAGCUGCAUUAUUUGACGUUAGCGACAGAAGAAGCACCGGCUAACUCCGUGCCAGCAGCCGCGGUAAUACGGAGGGUGCGAGCGUUAAUCGGAAUUACUGGGCGUAAAGCGCAUGCAGGUGGUUUGUUAAGUCAGAUGUGAAAGCCCGGGGCUCAACCUCGGAAUAGCAUUUGAAACUGGCAGACUAGAGUACUGUAGAGGGGGGUAGAAUUUCAGGUGUAGCGGUGAAAUGCGUAGAGAUCUGAAGGAAUACCGGUGGCGAAGGCGGCCCCCUGGACAGAUACUGACACUCAGAUGCGAAAGCGUGGGGAGCAACAGG
rnacentral:rRNA from 1 species